ACGCGCCACCACCGGGACCGCCUCUUCAGAAUUUGCAGCCUCAACCGCAGCAACAGCCACCGGUGUAUAAUAUUAACAAGAGUGAUUUUAGGGAUGUUGUUCAGAAGCUUACUGGUUCCCCUGCUCAUGAACGGAUUUCUACUCCUCCGCCUAUACAACAGCCUAAGGCUCCGAGUUCACGGUUGCAGAGGAUCCGUCCUCCGCCGCUUGCUCAGAUCACCAACCGGCCUCCUCCCUUCGUGAACGCUUCUAACGUUGUUGCUGGUGGAGGUAUUGGAUGUGGUGGUGGAUUUGUUGGCUGUCAACGACCUGUUCACGCACAGCCGUUAUCUCCUCUUCCGCCGUUUCCGGCAGUGCAUGCCGCGGCGGAAUCGCCUAUCUCCGCCUACAUGAGGUUUCUACAGAGCUCAAUCGCCUCUGGUUCCAGUGGGUUAUCACCACUGGCUCCGCGGUGGAUCAACGUUGGUCCGCCGCAGCAGCAGCCGCCAUUUCCGCCUCAGUCGUUUCCGCUGCCGCAGCAACAGAACAUUCCUCCGCCGCCGACCGCGUCUUCUUCCGUUUUACCACCAUUUCCGGCUUUUCCGUCAUCGCCGCUGCCGUUUGGGUGUUUGCCGUCGCCAAAAUCGCCGUACGGUUUGCU
rnacentral:lncRNA from 1 species